rnacentral:lncRNA from 9 species
CGCGGCAGCCCGGACAGCGAGUUCUCCCGGAUCGCGGCGGGAAGCGCAGACCUCCGGAGUCCCGGAAGGGCGCACACCCAGCCCCCGGCCAUGGCUCCGGGACCCCAUCUUCCUCGUCGUCUUGAGUGUCGUGCUGUGGAUCAGUUCCUUAAAAAUGGACGACAUAUGAAUAAAGAAAAUAGGUCUGAAAGGUCAAAAUCUGUCCCAGACAAUCCUGAUCCCUAGGAGAAUUCCAGAAAACGCAUCCUCGGCCCAUACUUGAAUCAUUCGCUAUCCUCAAAUGAACAAGGCUCUUUUACUCCUCCUCUGUGGACUCCUGGCCAAAAAUGCUCUCGCUCUGCCACUUGAAAGUCUUCUUCUAUCCUUUAAGGUUCAGCUCAGAUGUACUCUGGUCCAUAAAGCCCAUGGGGAGAAAAUGUCUCAUGAUUGUUUGCCAAAAUCUUUCUGUAUAUGCCAUGUAUAUAUGCAUAGGCAUAUCUAUAUGUUUUGACACAAAAGACAUACUAUGUAGUACACUCUUCCCAGUGUUUCUAAUAUAUUUUAAAUACGUUUUCCUUACUUUUUCAAAACUGAUAAUUUUACCCAGGCAGAAUUUCGAAUUGUUUCAUAAGCUUCCUCUCCCCCCCCCCCGUAAUCAUUGAAAUUGUUAUUAAAUCUACCUUAAGGUUUAAAAAGUAAUCUGGAGAAAAUGAUUAUUGUACGUAUCCAGUGAACUUCUUCUAAAGAGAGCAUUUCGCAAGCACAGUCAUCCCUCGGUGUCCCCAGGAAACUGGUUCCAGGAGUCCCCACACAAGGUUGGGCCAGGGCUGGGGUUCCCAGCCGGCGGGGGUCAUGCUGGGGCUGGGACAGAGGCAGGUCUGCACAGAACUGUUUACAGCGUUACGCAGGUGGAUGAGGACAGACCCCGGCAGCGUGUUCUCAUCUACAGAGAGAGCAGGGUAUCCCCCGGAAAGCAAGGCCAUCACCAUAGGAAGAGUGGAUCCCUGGAAGGAAGACGUUGGGCCAAGCAAAGCUCACCUCCAUCCUGCAUGUCCUGGUCUUCAGCAGAAAGCAGGGACCUGCAUCACCUGGCUCCUGGGGGUUCGCUGGGAAAACCUCUUCCUGUACCCACUGCUGUCUUGAGCGUUCCGUUGUUGCUAUCAUUGUAACGACUUCCACUUACGUUUUCCCAAGAAAAGAAGUGUCCUGAAA